UACGCCGCAUGUGACGGCACCCUAAAGGUGCAUCCCGAUGAAGGAAGAAAUAGCGGAACGGAACGUAUGGGUUCCCCAUGGCAAACAUUUUAUGGAACCCGGACCGGAAUAGAAGACAUAACCUGUUAAUCGCGUAUCAUACGUAAAUAUAUUAUAUUAUUUUACAAUAAUUUCGACAGUUCAUACGACAUGGAACAAUAUAAGUAUGGAUAUUGCGAGUGAAAAUUGAAACAUGAACAACUUGCACAGCAUUCUUGUUUUGCUAAUAAUUUGGAUUCUCUAGUAGUUGAUAAUGAAAAAAUCGUUUUCAUAAGUGGUAAUAUAAAUUUGGCCUUUCUGUAACAAUCCUUUAGAUAAUUCCACCUCUUUUCAGCUUCGCUUGGUGUAUAUGAGUCUAAAAUAUUAUAUUAUAUUUAUUAUAUUUAUGCGAGACGAAGAAACGCGAGAUGCAAAACGCAUAUUUACUGUGAUUAAUAAAUAUCACGAAGUGAUCCAUCUCGUGCAAAUAGCACGUGGUAAGAUUUACGGCAUAUUCGCGCAAUAGAAUAUCCUGAACGUCCUUGUCUUACUUGAAACUCGUUUAAAAGUCAUAGUCCACUAAUGUGUUCUUUUUUUUGCACAAUGCCGAUAAUUGUACAAGAAUCACUGUUAUGAUAAUAAACUGAUAGUAAAUUGAUAAA